rnacentral:lncRNA from 1 species
GUUGGUUAAGAUGGAUAUAUGAUGUCUCUCCUCUCUUUUUUUUGUUUCCUUCUCUAAUUUGUGAAUCCAAGAAAUAUAUAUGUAGUAGUUUCCAUGAAUGGUGUUUCCAUGCUUGGGAAGAGUGAGAAAGAUAAGUUUUCUUUUUAGUUUUUUAAAUUAUAUGGUUUAGGAUGUUAUUUUUUAUGUAAAUUUGAUUUAAUUAUACGAUAGGCAUUUUUUAUAUAUGAGGUUGCUUCAGAUGUUGCCUCUCCUCUCACCAUUUCGAUGUUUCCUUAUCAAAAUUUUUAGUGAUAUAAUAUAUUUAGUUUCAACCAACAGUUUUUUUGUACCUUGUCAAAUUUAUUUUAGUGAUAUAAAGAUAUAUAUUUAGGGUU